UGCCGUUUCUACCACUAGAGCUGGUCAACUAUGGGCAUGCCCACCUCAUUUAGCCCAUUUAAAAUCUACCCCAUUUAAAAUUAUUUAAUUUUAAGAUUUAUAAAAUUGCCCAUUUAAACUCAUAUACCCAUUUAGAUAUAAAUUAAAAAAGCAAUUUAAGUGACUCGGAACACAAAACAACUACUAAAUCAAGAAUGUGUCUAACCUUUUAUAAAACAAACUAAAAUCAACACUUACCAUCAAAUUUCAAAUUCUUACCAAUCGAAAGACACUAAUAUCUAUAAAUCAAACUCAAACAUGUUCAAGUUUUCAAACACAAUAAGUUUCUUAUUCUUCUUAGUUCCAAAACAUGUUGCUUCUUCUACAUUUGUUUCAUGGUGCACUUGAAUUUUCUGAUCUUGAAGAUUCUGCUCGGGUACUAAUUGCAAUCAUCCUUGCAUAUUGGUUGCAAAUCAUCAAUGUCUUUUAGGGUACCUACAAUUCAAAGUAUGAAUUCGUUUUAAAACAUGAUCACUGCAAGAAACCUCGUUUUAAAACAUAACUACACAAUAUUUUUACCUUCAUAUUCCGCAAAUCCUCGCAACCAAUUAUGAGUACAAAGCAGAGUCUGAAAGUUCUUCGGAAGCAACCAGUUCAUGUAUGGACUCGAGACCCGUGCUCUGAUGCUAAAAGCAGACUCAAAUGCUACUGUCGUGAUAGGAAUGCUAAGUAUGUCAUGCACCAUAGAUGCUAAGUUACCAAAUCUGUGUUGGUUUUCUUUCCAAUAGCUCAAAACAUCCAAAUUUCGAAAAGCCUUUCUAUGUAACCUUGGCUCAUCCAAAUAAACAUCUAAUUGCGUCUUCAUGUUGUCCACAUCACUUUCUAAGCUUCUUUCUAGCUCAAAAAGGAUUACAAUAUCAUUUUGGCUAUGGGUGCAAUCUUGGAUCCUAGAUGAAGUUGCAGAUUCUUGAAAAAACUUAUAAGCUUAUGAGUAUGUGGAUCUUUCUACUUCUAAGUCGAAAGCUAAAGAACUCAAAAAUGUAUUGAAAGAACUCUACAAAGAUUAUGAGAAAAGGAAGUUGGCAAGUUUAUGUGGAGCUUUUGUCGGCUCUCUCAACUAUGAUUCGCUUGUGGAGCUUUUUUUGACUCUCUCAAUAUUAAUGUGAAAAAUAAAGAACCGGACCAAACUGAAACUGUAUAAUCAAAUCGAACCAAACCGAAAUAUUAAUACCAAAGAUUUGGAUUGUAGCUCUUUCGAUUUUAGAUUUUGUUGUAAGUAUGGUUUUUUUAAGAGAGAAUGUAAAAUUUAUUCAAUCUUUUUAAAAAUGCAUCAGUUUACAAAUGUAUCAAACUACUGUUUUCAUUUUAGUGUCGCAAAAAAUUAGUCGUUAAAGCAUAGUAUAACACAUAAUGUGUUAUUGCAUU
rnacentral:sRNA from 1 species